ACCUGGGUGGCUCAGUCGGUUGAGCGUCUGACUUCAGCUCAGGUCAUGAUCUCACGGUUUGUGGGUUUGAAUCCCACGUUGGGCU
rnacentral:tRNA from 1 species